rnacentral:lncRNA from 1 species
GGACUGUGGAAAAGAGAAGGUUUUUAGUGAAAGCUUAAACUCAGGUAAUUCUAAAAAUUAUAGGUUUUGGCUGAUUUAUCUAAUCAGGAAAUUUUAUUUCCAUCUGUUACAAUAAAACAGAAACAGAACACAAAGAAAAAUAGUCUACCUCUUGUGGCAAUCUUGCCUUCAUUCAGUUAUAUGUUUUGGCUGAUUUAUCUAAUCAGGAAAUUUUAUUUCCAUCUGUUACAAUAAAACAGAAACAGAACACAAAGAAAAAUAGUCUACCUCUUGUGGCAAUCUUGCCUUCAUUCAGACUAUGAAACCAUUUCCUUUCACCAAUUUCUUCCAAAAGUUUGAACACGUUUCAUGGUUGGACAUAGUUAGCUUCUUUCUCUUUUGGUGCAUUUAGGUGCUAUCAAGUGACAGCCAU